ACGCUCGACACCUACGGGAGCAGCAGUUAGGAAUAUUGGGCAAUGGAGGAAACUCUGACCCAGCAACGCCGCGUGAAGGAAGAAGGUUUUCGGAUUGUAAACUUCUGAUCUAGGGGAAGAAGGAAGUGACGGUACCCUAGGAGAAAGCCACGGCUAACUACGUGCCAGAGCCGCCGGUAAGUACUGAGCGGGCGUGGCGAAGGACG
rnacentral:rRNA from 1 species